rnacentral:rRNA from 1 species
GUAGGGAAUAUUGCGCAAUGGACGAAAGUCUGACGCAGCGACGCCGCGUGAGUGAUGAAGGCCUUAGGGUCGUAAAGCUCUGUUGAAUGGGAAGAAAAAAAUGACGGUACCAUUCGAGGAAGGACCGGCUAACUUCGUGCCAGCAGCCGCGGUAAUACGAGGGGUCCUAGCGUUGUUCGGGAUCAUUGGGCGUAAAGGGUGUGUAGGUGGCCAUGUAAGUCAGGUGUGAAAGCCCCGGGCUCAACCCGGGAAGUGCACUUGAUACUGCGUGGCUUGAGUACCGAAGAGGGUAGUGGAAUUCCAGGUGUAGUGGUGAAAUACGUAGAUAUCUGGAGGAACACCGGUGGCGAAGGCGGCUACCUGGUCGAGUACUGACACUGAGACACGAAAGCAUGGGGAUCAAACAGGAUUAGAAACCCGUGUAGUCC